GCCUGCGUGGCUCAGUUGGUUAAGCAUCUGACUUCGGCUCAGGUCAUGAUCUCGCAGUUUGUGAGUUCGAGUCCCGCGUCAGGCU
rnacentral:tRNA from 1 species